CUCUCCAACCAUGUGAACUUACCACUGUUGCCUCGGUGGAUGGUGCUGUCUCUCGGGACGGCGCCACCGCCGGUGGACUACCUAAACUCUGUUAAUUUUUGUCAAUCUGAAUCAAACUAAGAAAUAAGUUAAAACUUUCAACAACGGAUCUCUUGGUUCUGGCAUCGAUGAAGAACGCAGCUGAGACCAAAGUGAGAUUUUAAAUCUCCAACAUGUGAACUUACACUGUUGCCUCGGUGGAUGGU
rnacentral:misc_RNA from 1 species